rnacentral:rRNA from 1 species
AGAACGAACGCUGGCGGCGUGGAUUAGGCAUGCAAGUCGUGCGAGAAAGGGUAGCAAUACCUGAGUAGAGCGGCGAACUGGUGAGUAACAGGUGGGUAACGUGCCCUGAAGUGGGGGAUAACACCGGGAAACCGGUGCUAAUACCGCAUAUGGCGGCGAGAACCUUGGUUCUUUUCGCUAAAGCAGCAGUGCGCUUCAGGAUCGGCCCGUCCCCGAUUAGCUAGUUGGUAAGGUAACGGCUUACCAAGGCUACGAUCGGUAGCUGGUCUGAGAGGAUGGUCAGCCACACUGGAACUGAGAUACGGUCCAGACUCCUACGGGGGGCAGCAGUCUAGAGGCUUCGUCAAUGGGGGCAACCCUGAACGAGCGACGCCGCGUGUGGGAUUGAAGGCCUUCGGGUUGUAAACCCCUUUCAGCAGGGACGAAAUUGACGGUACCUGCAGAGAAGCCCGGCAACUACGUGCCAGCAGCCGC